AGAGAGCGCCGCGAGGUCGAUGAGCCCUGAGCCUCCCGCGUCCCUCGCAACCCUCUCGACCAGUUCCACCACAAGGUGCAGCGCCCGCAGCCGCUAACCCUAUAUACCUACCACCUGCCAGACACUUUGACUAACAGCAGAUGGUCGUUGCAGUGAAAGGAGCGACUGCGGGGAAAGCGGAGUUGCCGGCGAGGAAGGUGAGGUUAGUAUGCUGGGAUCGAAGCGGUGUGGCGCGGGGAGGGGGUCGUCUAGACAGGCCGCAGACGCACGG
rnacentral:misc_RNA from 1 species